GUAGAAAAUGGCACAAAUCAAAAGGCAGGAGACUGAAGCAGUGGUUUCUCCUGGUCAGGACAGGUUAAAAGUCCUUAGAGCUCACAGGUAGGUGACAGUUCCUCUUCUGACCAUGAGUCCAGCUCCUCCUGCUCUUCCUGUGUGCCAGGACUUGUAUUUGCCUUGUACUUGCAUUCUCCCUUUUAACGUUGAACAAAGUGCUUCACCUCUCCAGUUUCUUCAUCUGAAGAACAGAGAUUAGGUAAUAAUGGCUCCACUUCAGAGGAUCUGGUGAGGUGUGAAAGUUCAUCUACAAAGAGCUCUGAAAGCAAGUUCAGCCAGAGAGAGCACCUGGCAAAUGUUAACAGCUCCUGAUGAUCAGAAGACUAGCACCCUCGGAUACCAUAUUCCAGAGAUUGCUGCAGCAGAAGUCAAAAUAUUCAUCAGCACAUUUGAAGAAGCCCAUAUUCAGGCUGCUCCCUUUGCCUCUUCUCAAAAGGACAUGAGUAUGAAGAAAACUGUUCAAAAGCCUAUAGAACAUUAAGAAGUAUAAUAAUAAUAGUUGCAUUUAUUUGGAUGUGGGGAUAGGCAGGGGCAGAGAUGAUGGGAAACUGCUAGAUAGUAGGGUCUUUUGGAGAGAGAGAGAGAGAGAGAGAGAGAGAGAGAGAGAGAUCUGGAGGAGGAGUGCAUCGUAUUCUGAUGUGUUUUGUUCUGUGGGCAGUGAGAAGAGAUGAUCAAUGCUAUGUUGAGUCUGCUGAUUAUUUUUUAAAAUAUGGAUAUAAGUACUUUAUUUACAAAUAUUUAGAUUAAUAGCAUUCUGUUACAUCAAAUGAAGAAUACAGCAAUCCGAAUAUAUCCUGUAAUAAAAACGAGACCCACUGUAACUAACUUUGGGAAUUGGGUAUUCGACCUAAAAAAGGCAAAGUUUUUGGUUUGAUAUUUCUACCUUGUAUCUAAUGAAUGGUUUGUCCGUAUGUAAAUAUACAUACACAUCAGCAGGUCAUGGCCCCUGGUCACAUCCUUUGUGAUGCAACAGUGCAAGCAAAAUGGGUCACUGUAAGUUUUUAACAGAAUAUGUCAAUCUACUCCAGAAAAGUUGUUUUUGCAAAUGUUAAACAGAGAAAUAAAAUGAGUCCACAAACUAA